GUGACAUAAAAGAUUUAAUGAGCUUUUUACUAAUAGCUGCAGCGGAUGGAUAAAGUUGAUAACUAAGUUUUAAAAUAUGCAGUUUUGUUUAUAGUUAUAAAGUAAGUAGCAUAUUAUUCUUAUACGAUAAAAGUAGUUUAUUUGCCAGUGUUGAAAGAAAAUUUUAAAAUUUCACUUGUAUUCACACAUAUCUUGGAGUGCCCUGAAAUGAUACAAGGCACAAAAUUACUUUUGACUUCGCAGAAGAAUAUUUGAAUACUGUAAGAUCUAGAGGAAUGAGGACUUUGUGUGCCUCCCACAAGGCACAACUUAUCACAACUUAUCACAGUGCCAUGCACAUGGUGGGUUUUUUAGUUUUCAUUGAAUGAAUGCAUGAAUUUAAUAUAAAGACAUCCUUUCAUGUUCUCCUUAAAGAGAAAUGACAAGUGACACACAAGGGUACCGGAAGAAACGGUCUUCAUUCUCCAGGGAAGGCGUUAAGCAUUGAUACAUCUCCACUGAUAUGAGCUAUUACAUACAUAUUUUUUGGAUGGUAAUUAGAAGCAGCCCAAAUGAUUUUACUGAUUGUCUUCUUGGCACCCAGUAACCUAGGACUUGACUCUUGAUUCUACCAUACUUACUAGGAAUAUGAUCAUAUUCAUUGGGGGAAAAUUAGAAAAUUAAAACAAAUUUAAAAAUAUAGGUCAGAAAGCCUUGUGGGGUAUAUAAGUAGAUGCUUUGUUACUGUUCUUUUCUCUCAUUUCUCUUUUCCUUAGACAAUUGAUUGGUCCUAUUUUCAAUUGCUAUCUCCAGGCAGUGUUGAUUGGGCAUUUUAUACCCCGACACUGAACGUGUUCCCAUCAUUGCCAUGUUUGGAACUAUAAACCCAGACUCUAUCUCUCCAAACCAGGUUGCUUUCCUAUUCCAUUUCUGUGGUAGUGCUGUUGUUCUAAUCGCCCAGGCUGUAAUUAUCUCUGCAUAGCCACGUGUCCUUGUGUUUAUGAGUGGCCAUGGCUGCUCUGUUCUGGAUUGUGGGUAAUUCAAAGGUGUAGAAGAGAUUUUGAAUCCAGUGAGACCAAAUGUGUAAAAGCAAGUGUGGGGGAGAGAAGGAAAAAAACGGAUACUCUUGGACUUUUUGAUGAAAGAUACAGAUGGUAUCUGACUGACUUCAAGGUACUGAGGUCGAUCUGUUUCAGGGCAAGAGACAUGGCGGGAGAAAUCUCCACAUUCCUUGGCCUGAAAUGUAUUUGUAUAUAUGUUACCUGUUGACUUGCUUCAUAUCUGUAUGCCAACAUAGCUUACUAUUUAAAGGAAGCCAAUUAAAUUUGUAUUUCCCCAUUACUGUAUUUUAUGUGCCAAACACAUUGAUUCUUAGCUCCAUGUUUCCAGGCUAUCUUAGUGUAACUGUUGAUUGAUGAAAUGAACUACCACGUGCCACGGACCAUCUUCCACAUUGGCAUUGAAACAGAGAUGGCAAUACUAUUUAAGAUACUGAAGACAUGAGCCUGGCCUUGGGGUAAGGGGUUGGACUAGCUCUCCAGUGACUCCUUCGAACAUUAAGAUUCACAAGAUGAGUAUUCAGUG
rnacentral:lncRNA from 1 species